rnacentral:rRNA from 1 species
UGCUAUACAUGCAGUCGAGCGAACAGACGAGGAGCUUGCUCCUCUGACGUUAGCGGCGGACGGGUGAGUAACACGUGGAUAACCUACCUAUAAGACUGGGAUAACUUCGGGAAACCGGAGCUAAUACCGGAUAAUAUAUUGAACCGCAUGGUUCAAUAGUGAAAGACGGUUUUGCUGUCACUUAUAGAUGGAUCCGCGCCGCAUUAGCUAGUUGGUAAGGUAACGGCUUACCAAGGCAACGAUGCGUAGCCGACCUGAGAGGGUGAUCGGCCACACUGGAACUGAGACACGGUCCAGACUCCUACGGGAGGCAGCAGUAGGGAAUCUUCCGCAAUGGGCGAAAGCCUGACGGAGCAACGCCGCGUGAGUGAUGAAGGUCUUCGGAUCGUAAAACUCUGUUAUUAGGGAAGAACAAAUGUGUAAGUAACUAUGCACGUCUUGACGGUACCUAAUCAGAAAGCCACGGCUAACUACGUGCCAGCAGCCGCGGUAAUACGUAGGUGGCAAGCGUUAUCCGGAAUUAUUGGGCGUAAAGCGCGCGUAGGCGGUUUUUUAAGUCUGAUGUGAAAGCCCACGGCUCAACCGUGGAGGGUCAUUGGAAACUGGAAAACUUGAGUGCAGAAGAGGAAAGUGGAAUUCCAUGUGUAGCGGUGAAAUGCGCAGAGAUAUGGAGGAACACCAGUGGCGAAGGCGACUUUCUGGUCUGUAACUGACGCUGAUGUGCGAAAG